AAUCAGGAGGCGCUGGAACACAAAGCGAGCGCUAGUGCAGGGUGACCUGGGGGGGAUCUGAGGUACCGUUGUGGUGAUCCUGACGGCUAGAUGGAGUUCAACUAUGGACAGAAUUAACUUUACGUAGCAGGUAAGGAGAACUAACGCAGCAGGUAAUGAGAACUAACGCAGCAGGCAAUGAGAACUAAUGCAGCAGGUAAGGAGAACUAACGCAGCAGGCAAUGAGAACUAACGCAGCAGGUAAGGAGAACUAACGCAGCAGGAUAGGAGAACUAACGCAGCAGGUAAGGAGAACGAACGCAGCAGGCUAGGAGAACUAACGCAGCAGGUAAGGAGAACUAAACACAGCAGGUAAUGAGAACUAACGCAGCAGGUAAUGAGAACUAACGCAGCAGGUAAGGAGAACGAACGCAGCAGGUAAGGAGAACUAACGCAGCAGGUAAGGAGAACUAAACACAGCAGGUAAGGAGAACUAACGCAGCAGGUAAGGAGAACUAACGCAGCAGGCAAGGAGAACUAACGCAGCAGGUAAGGAGAACUAACGCAGCAGGUAAGGAGAACUAACGCAGCAGGUAAGGGGAACUAACGCAGCAGGUAAGGGGAACUAACGCGGCAGGUAAGGAGAACUAACGCGGCAGGUAAGGAGAACUAACGCGGCAGGUAAGGGGAACUAACGCAGCAGGUAAGGAGAACUAACGCAGCAGGCAAGGAGAACUAACGCAGCAGGCAAGGAGAACUAAUGCAGCAGGUAAGGAGAACUAACGCAGCAGGCAAGGAGACCUAACGCAGCAGGCAAGGAGACCUAACGCAGCAGGCAAGGAGAACUAACGCAGCAGGUAAGGAGAACUAAUGCAGCAGGCAAGGAGAACUAAUGCAGCAGGUAAGGAGAACUAACGCAGCAGGUAAGGAGACCUAACGCAGCAGGCAAGGAUAACUAACGCAGCAGGUAAGGAGUACUAACGCGGCAGGUAAGGAGAACUAACGCAGCAGGUAAGGGGAACUAACGCAGCAGGUAAGGAGAACUAACGCAGCAGGCAAGGAGAACUAACGCAGCAGGCAAGGAGAACUAAUGCAGCAGGUAAGGAGAACUAACGCAGCAGGUAAGGAUAACUAACGCAGCAGGUAAGGAGAACUAACGCAGCAGGCAAGGAUAACUAACGCAGCAGGUAAGGAGAACUAACGCAGCAGGUAAGGAGAACUAACGCAGCAGGUAAGGAGAACUAACGCAGCAGGUAAGGAGAACUAAUGCAGCAGGUAAGGAGAACUAAUGCAGCAGGUAAGGAGAACUAACGCAGCAGGUAAGGAGAACUAAUGCAGCAGGUAAGGAGAACUAAUGCAGCAGGUAAGGAGAACUAACGCAGCAGGUAAGGAGAACUAAUGCAGCAGGUAAGGAGAACUAAUGCAGCAGGUAAGGAGAACUAACGCAGCAGGUAAGGAGAACUAACGCAGCAGGUAAGGAGAACUAACGCAGCAGGUAAGGAGUACUAAUGCAGCAGGUAAGGAGAACUAACACAGCAGGUAAGGAGAACUAAUGCAGCAGGUAAGGAGACCUAACGCAGCAGGAUAGGAGGCAUUUAAAAAAAAUCUACUUUCACUACCCUUCAAGAAUUGAAUUCCCUCUUCACAUCAUGAACAUUUUCAACUGUAAAAUAUUUUACUGCUAACAGUUGUCCCCAAU